rnacentral:rRNA from 1 species
CGUAUAUUAAAGUUGUUGCAGUUAAAAAGCUCGUAGUUGAACCUUUGGCCUGGCUGGCAGGUCCGCCUCACCGCGUGCACUUGUCCGGCCGGGCCUUUUCUUCUGGAGAACCGCAUGCCCUUCACUGGGUGUGUUGGGGACCAGGACUUUUACUUUGAAAAAAUUAGAGUGUUCAAAGCAGGCCUUUGCUCGAAUACGUUAGCAUGGAAUAAUAGAAUAGGACGUGCGGUCCUAUUUUGUUGGUUUCUAGGACCGCCGUAAUGAUUAAUAGGGACAGUCGGGGGCAUCAGUAUUCAAUUGUCAGAGGUGAAAUUCUUGGAUUUAUUGAAGACUAACUACUGCGAAAGCAUUUGCCAAGGAUGUUUUCAUUAAUCAGUGAACGAAAGUUAGGGGAUCGAAGACGAUCAGAUACCGUCGUAGUCUUAACCAUAAACUAUGCCGACUAGGGAUCGGGCGGUGUUUCUAUUGUGACCCGCUCGGCA